rnacentral:rRNA from 1 species
UACAGUGGCGUACGGGUGAGUAACACGUGGGGAUCUACCUCCUGGUGGGGGAAUAACUCUGGGAAACCGGAGCUAAUACCGCAUAAGCAGGGAACUGGAAAGCCGAAAGGCGCCGGAAGAGGAGCCCGCGGCCGAUUAGCUAGUUGGUGAGGUAACGGCUCACCAAGGCAAAGAUUGGUAGCCGGCCUGAGAGGGCACACGGCCACGCUGGCACUGAAACACGGGCCAG